rnacentral:lncRNA from 1 species
CUGAAUUUUUUAUUUUAAUUGAUUCUGUGGAAGUCACAAAAGAGAGCCUCCUGCUUUGUUAUUCCUGUUGCAGUAACGCUGUAUACCUUUGGGGAGACCAAGUUGCAUCAAGUUCAAGGAACAGGUCUCCAUUUGCACGGUGUCUGUAGCAGAACCAGGACCAGAAUUUUUGAUCUUUGACUGUUGCCUCAGAUGCUCAGCUACUUCGUAUUCCGUGCUUUGUUUGGGUGGAAGGAGACUUCCUGAAACCUGGCACGGGUCUCUAGUGACUGGGAGCUGCUACUCUGAUGGUUAUUUAAUGGUUCAGAAGCAAGGAGCUGGUGGAAAAACUCUGCCAUUUGGUACACAAGAAGUGGCACCUGGCUUGGAUUCAGCCGACUGGACAAUGACAGAGGAAACAGACCUCACAUCUUGACCUUCCUCCUGCACCCAGGAACCUUGUGGAAAAGCAGUCUGGUGCUUUUGGAUAGCUCUAGGAUAUGUGGAAACAUUGUGGCCCCGUCACUGCAGUCCAAAGGCUGUCAUCAGUGGAGCCAACAGAAGGGAUCACAUUCCCUUAGGUGCUGGUAUGCUUCAGCCACAAUAUUUAUUUGCGGCUGGAGCAAGAGGAUUCACUGUUGUUGGACUGGAGUCUUUGUUGUGGCGAGCCCUGCCAGAUACACUAAGCACUUUAAAUAUCUGAGCAGAUGCAUCUUGGAAGCUCUGCCACUAGUGUCAGUUGGGAAUCCUAUUCCUUACCUUACAAAAUCUAGACUUAAUUUAUUGACUGUCUCCGAGACUCAGCUGCCAGGUUACUGCAUUUCUAAAGAUUUGGUCUUUUUCCUUCAUCAGUUUAACUGCAUGAUAAUGCCAUUUCACAAAAUACUGAUACGGUUCUGCCUUCGCUUUCCUCCUGCUCGUCUCUCUGUCAAACACCCUCACUCUCUCCUUUUGAGUCUCACUUCUGUCCCAGCUUUUUCCUCAUUCUUGCUUUGUCCUGUCUCAUUAGGUAUCCCUCAACCUUUGCACUUUUCAGACCAUCAUUACUCACUUCAAAGACAUUACUGA